rnacentral:rRNA from 1 species
UACGUAGGGUGCAAGCGUUAAUCGGAAUUACUGGGCGUAAAGCGUGCGCAGGCGGCUUUGCAAGACAGAUGUGAAAUCCCCGGGCUUAACCUGGGAACUGCAUUUGUGACUGCAUGGCUGGAGUGCGGCAGAGGGGGAUGGAAUUCCGCGUGUAGCAGUGAAAUGCGUAGAGAUGUGGAGGAACACCGAUGGCGAAGGCAGCCUCCUGGGCCAACACUGACGCUCAUGCACGAAAGCGUGGGGAGCAAACAGG